GAUAACCAAGAAUAACUCUUGGGUCUAAAGUUGGAUUAACAAGUCUGACUUCACCACCACCUGGUGCCCAUGUGUCAUAUGCACCGCCAAUAAAACACCAGUUUACUGACCAUGCUAGAGCACCUACACCUAGAACAAUCAAAUGAUAACCAAGAAUGUUUGUCAUUUGAUUUUUAUCUCUCCA
rnacentral:antisense_RNA from 1 species